AUGAGGCGAACCGGGGGAACUGAAACAUCUAAGUACCCCGAGGAAAAGAAAUCAACCGAGAUUCCCCCAGUAGCGGCGAGCGAACGGGGAGGAGCCCAGAGCCUGAAUCAGCAUGUGUGUUAGUGGAAGCGUCUGGAAAGGCGCGCGAUACAGGGUGACAGCCCCGUACACAAAAGCGCAUGUGCUGUGAGCUCGAUGAGUAGGGCGGGACACGUGGUAUCCUGUCUGAAUAUGGGGGGACCAUCCUCCAAGGCUAAAUACUCCUGACUGACCGAUAGUGAACCAGUACCGUGAGGGAAAGGCGAAAAGAACCCCGGCGAGGGGAGUGAAAAAGAACCUGAAACCGUGUACGUACAAGCAGUGGGAGCCCCACCACUAAGCCAGUGGUGAACUCCACAUACGCAUCCUUUGCUGAGGAUACGGUUAACGGAGCGAAAGCGACGUUCAACCUCAAAAGAAGCAGAGGGGGCUUAGUGGUGGGGUGACUGCGUACCUUUUGUAUAAUGGGUCAGCGACUUAUAUUCUGUAGCAAGGUUAACCGCAUAGGGGAGCCGUAGGGAAACCGAGUCUUAACCGGGCGUUAAGUUGCAGGGUAUAGACCCGAAACCCGGUGAUCUAGCCAUGGGCAGGUUGAAGGUUGGGUAACACUAACUGGAGGACCGAACCGACUAAUGUUGAAAAAUUAGCGGAUGACCUGUGGCUGGGGGUGAAAGGCCAAUCAAACCGGGAGAUAGCUGGUUCUCCCCGAAAGCUAUUUAGGUAGCGCCUCGUGAAUUCAUCUCCGGGGGUAGAGCACUGUUUCGGCUAGGGGGCCAUCCCGGCUUACCAACCCGAUGCAAACUGCGAAUACCGGAGAAUGUUAUCACGGGAGACACACGGCGGGUGCUAACGUCCGUCGUGAAGAGGGAAACAACCCAGACCGCCAGCUAAGGUCCCAAAGUCAUGGUUAAGUGGGAAACGAUGUGGGAAGGCCCAGACAGCCAGGAUGUUGGCUUAGAAGCAGCCAUCAUUUAAAGAAAGCGUAAUAGCUCACUGGUCGAGUCGGCCUGCGCGGAAGAUGUAACGGGGCUAAACCAUG
rnacentral:rRNA from 1 species